ACAGCUUUACUGAUCCCGGUCUUGAAGCGUUUAGAAGGACUGAAAAGUAUCAAAGUACAGCCUCCGUUAUUUGUUUAAAAAAAUCUGUUAACAGCCUCAACACUGCUUACAAACGGAAAAAAAUAACCAACAGCUGACUUGUGUCACAUGACCACACAACAGCCAACCAUGAAGCAAUCUCAAAAAACACGACACACAGCAGUGCUGUAACAUACAAAUGACAACAAAUACCUAACAAGGAAGGCCAGAAACAUAAAGAGAAAUGCAGACGAUGGAGAGACUCCGCAGCAAGUGACGACAACAAGGCAAGGAAGACUGGAGCAUGGAAUCAUGCCCUUUUUAUUGAGUGGAUGCAUAGGCCUGAGGAACUAGGGAUCGAGUAAGGUUAUCUGACCCAUUUUUGACUACAUGAGGGAAUUCUUCUGCACUGCCAUGAUUAUUAUAAUGGAUACAAUGGAACUUCAUACAUCCACCAUAAGAGACGGAGCAACCACUCAGCUCACCAAGUAUUGUAAACAAAUUCAUGUCAUUGGUGGGAUAGGCAGAUGUCUAACAACAGAGUUGAACAUCUGUCAAGUGCAUUCUCUGCAAUCAUUACUAUCCAGAGAGCUGAUGACCACACACCAACACCAGGCUUAUUUGCAUCACUGAAGUCAAGCAAAAUGACAUUUUUCACUUUUUUUUUGUUAAGCAGUGAAACGUGAUUGCUUGUUACCAAGUGCCAUGCACAUGCAGAAAGCAAUAAUAAAAAUAACU